CGGCGGCCGGACGGGCAGCGGGGUUGAGGGCAGCCCGUGUUGUUCUUACGGGCCGCGUGGGUCUGCCGGCUCUGUUCUCCGUGGUGGCCUGGAGAGGACGCGCGGGGGCUUCGUUUUCCCUCCUUGCCACGUUUGCAUGGAAUCAUAGAACGGCCUGGGUUGAAAAGGAGCUCAGAGACCAUCGAGUUCCAACCCCCUGCUGUGUGCAGGGUCGCCAACCACCAGAGCGGGCGUUUGCUUACCCGUAGUCUCCACAGCACGGCUCGCAGAGCACAGGGAUGGCUGCAGUGCCGGGCAGACACCCGCCUGCUAUCCCAGCCAGCACUUUGACCGUGUUGAAAGCCAAGGCCACACGGCACAGCAAAGUGACAGCCUUCAUCCGACACCCAGAGCUGAUAAAAACACAGCAGACAAAGCAGAACUCGUGGAUUGAGAUAGGAACUGUUUACUAAGGCAAAAGGAAGAGAGAAAAGAUAUUAUAUGUAUGUACGUAUAUAUGUUAUAUAGGUCCUGUAGGACUAGCUCGAUUUCCUGCCACGACAAGGCCGCCCGUCUGGCUGACCGGGUGCAGCUGGCUGGUGUUAAUUUGCUGGGUUUCAGUAAAGCUUUUGGCACUGCUUCUCACAGGACCCUCGUGGACAAAAGGUCCUGCACGGAGCUGUGGAGGAACGGGCCGCUGGGAGCAUUCUGCUGUGGUGAGAAAGACAUAGGUACCAGACUCCUUGUCAGCAAGACAAUGAGGAAGAGUGUUUACUUCAUCCCAAGGGACCACCAGAUGGGGAUGCGACCACCCGGAGGAGAAUACAAAGCAUGCGCCGGAGGGGAGGGACUUGAUUAAUGAAUAUGGAGUGGG
rnacentral:lncRNA from 1 species